AUUUUUAUGAAUUUAUUUAAGUUUUUCGUUAAAUUUCUCUUUUGCUUUUACUUUUAUUUUUACUUUUAUUUAAAUUUAAUUAAUCUUUUUAUUGAUAUUUUUAUAUCUCUAUUUCCUUCUUUGUAUUAUAAUUAUUUUAUUAUCUUAUUAUUAGUUAAAUUAGUAUUUCUACUGAUAAUUUUUUUUUUUUUAUUUUUUUUCCAAUAAGUAAAUCUUUACAGGAUUUCAAUCUUACAAGCAACAACAAUUAAUUUAUGUGUUAUAUUAUGUUUCAAUUUUUCGCGCGAUUUUUGAAUGAAAAAAAUAAGCAUCAUGAGCCAACCAAUCAGAACAUCCCUUAAUUCGAGACGCGGGACGAAUUAGUGCGCAUCGCAAUGCGCAUCGGAGUGCGCAACGCAGUGCGCAUCACACUGCGCAUCACACUGCGCAUGUCGUCAGUCUACAGUUGAAAAUUGUGUGGAGUGGAUGUGUCGUCGCAAAUUCGGAUUACGCAGUUUAAUUGAUAGCGUUAUGGUAAUAUUCUCGAAGGCGGGAAAAAUUCCAAUAUGGACGCCAUGUCUUUCUUGGUGACUUUCUUUCGUGGUAAAAUCUUAUAUUUCAAAUCCUCUUCAACUUUCAACGGUAUGGAUUACAUCAUCGAAUAAAUAUUUUAAUUUUUAUAUUAGGUAGGAUAGGAUUUAAGAUAGGAUCAGAUUAGAAGAAAUAUUUAGAAAUAUUUUUUUUAUAUAUGGGAUUUAUAAACAAUGGGAUGUUCUGUUCUUCCUAUUAUUAAAAAAAGGCAGUCUCGCCUUCCCUACUCUGAUUCGUUUUCCAAACCAAUAUUUCCUAAUUUUUCAAGGCAAAUUACCUUAACCUUGCCUUAAUUCCUCAAUUUCCUCAUUAUAGACAAAUACUUGAUAGCUACGUGACUUCGUUCACUAGCCAUCAUUGAUAUUUUCCUCUUGCCACAUGUGGUUCAUAUUUUAUAUCGUAUCAUAAAUUUUUCGAAAAUUGUUUGUCAGUCGAUCAGUGUGAAUGUUGGUGUGAAGAGAAUUUGUAGAUGUUCAAUAGGCAGAGUUAAAAACAAAAUGUUUAAAUUCUUAUAUAUUCUUAAGUAAGAAAUACGAAAAAGAACUUUUAAAAUAAGUAAAAUGUUAAUGUUAUAUUUUUAUUUAAAUUUGUUUCAGGAUUUCUUACAGGAGCAGAAGAUUGUACGAUAUUGAUUAAAGAAAAUGUAUUUAGAAUUAAGUGCAUGCACAAUCAAGGGUAUUAAAUAAAGUAGUGUAGUAUUGUAGAAAAGUAGAUACUGUAGAUAAAUAGAUGGGUAAAAUGGGUGUAGCGCUUUUUGGGAUGCUUAUUUUGCUUGUUUUUUUUCUUUUUUUUUUUUUUUUUGCGCACGCUUUUUACUAUCAAUCAUUCUUCAUUUUCAUAUCGAAAUGGAAGUGUAAAAUAUUGAUAGAAAAUCUUUUAAUUUUAAUUUUAUUUUCAGAUUUAGUCUUCCGCGCCGGUUUUCCUUAGAAUUCCUUUCGUUGUUUGUUUUGCACAACGAUCGAAGGAUUCGAACGUUUUGCAAAUUUAUAUCGAAAGGAAAAUUUAUUAUUAAUUUUAAAUAAAUUUUUGCGUAAAGGAGGGUGGACGGGAUCGUGGAUAGGGUGGGUCUCCAAUUCGCAGCAACCUCCACGCGGUGAGACCUGGAAAAUCAUUAUUAUUUACUAUAUUAUUCAUAAUCGUAUCCUUGAUACAAUUAUAAAUUUUAUAGCGAAUAAUGUGAGCUAAUUGGCUGCGCACGCGAUUUCAAUGAUUAUUUUUUUAUUUUGUAAUUAUUAAGAUUUAUUAAAUUAUUAACGAUCAAAGUUUGAACGUUUUGCUUACAUCGAAAAGAAGAAUUUAUUUGUGAAUAAAAUAAUUUGUGAAAAUUGUAAAGUGUAAGAUUUUUUUCU